rnacentral:rRNA from 1 species
CGGAGGGAAACCGAGUCUUAAUUGGGCGUUAAGUUGCAGGGUAUAGACCCGAAACCCGGUGAUCUAGCCAUGGGCAGGUUGAAGGUUGGGUAACACUAACUGGAGGACCGAACCGACUAAUGUUGAAAAAUUAGCGGAUGACCUGUGGCUGGGGGUGAAAGGCCAAUCAAACCGGGAGAUAGCUGGUUCUCCCCGAAAGCUAUUUAGGUAGCGCCUCGUGAAUUCAUCUCCGGGGGUAGAGCACUGUUUCGGCUAGGGGGCCAUCCCGGCUUACCAACCCGAUGCAAACUGCGAAUACCGGAGAAUGUUAUCACGGGAGACACACGGCGGGUGCUAACGUCCGUCGUGAAGAGGGAAACAACCCAGACCGCCAGCUAAGGUCCCAAAGUCAUGGUUAAGUGGGAAACGAUGUGGGAAGGCCCAGACAGCCAGGAUGUUGGCUUAGAAGCAGCCAUCAUUUAAAGAAAGCGUAAUAGCUCACUGGUCGAGUCGGCCUGCGCGGAAGAUGUAACGGGGCUAAACCAUGCACCGAAGCUGCGGCAGCGAACGUAUCACUUAAAGCGAUUCAGCGGGUUACGAUUGACGGAGCGAAGCGACGUCAAAGCGUAUACAAAGUCGAGUCGGUUUAAGGAUACGUUCGUUGGGUAGGGGAGCGUUCUGUAAGCCUGUGAAGGUGGCCUGUGAGGGUUGCUGGAGGUAUCAGAAGUGCGAAUGCUGACAUAAGUAACGAUAAAGCGGGUGAAAAGCCCGCUCGCCGGAAGACCAAGGGUUCCUGUCCAACGUUAAUCGGGGCAGGGUGAGUCGACCCCUAAGGCGAGGCCGAAAGGCGUAGUCGAUGGGAAACGGGUUAAUAUUCCCGUACUUGGUGUUACUGCGAAGGGGGGACGGAGAAGGCUAUGUUGGCCGGGCGACGGUUGUCCCGGUUUAAGCGUGUAGGUGUGUGUUCCAGGUAAAUCCGGUUCACUUUAACACUGAGGCGUGACGACGAGGCACUACGGUGCUGAAGCAACAAAUGCCCUGCUUCCAGGAAAAGCCUCUAAGCAUCAGGUAACAUCAAAUCGUACCCCAAACCGACACAGGUGGUCAGGUAGAGAAUACCAAGGCGCUUGAGAGAACUCGGGUGAAGGAACUAGGCAAAAUGGUGCCGUAACUUCGGGAGAAGGCACGCUGACACGUAGGUGAAGUGAUUUACUCAUGGAGCUGAAGUCAGUCGAAGAUACCAGCUGGCUGCAACUGUUUAUUAAAAACACAGCACUGUGCAAACACGAAAGUGGACGUAUACGGUGUGACGCCUGCCCGGUGCCGGAAGGUUAAUUGAUGGGGUCAGCGCAAGCGAAGCUCCUGAUCGAAGCCCCGGUAAACGGCGGCCGUAACUAUAACGGUCCUAAGGUAGCGAAAUUCCUUGUCGGGUAAGUUCCGACCUGCACGAAUGGCGUAAUGAUGGCCAGGCUGUCUCCACCCGAGACUCAGUGAAAUUGAACUCGCUGUGAAGAUGCAGUGUACCCGCGGCAAGACGGAAAGACCCCGUGAACCUUUACUAUAGCUUGACACUGAACAUUGAGCCUUGAUGUGUAGGAUAGGUGGGAGGCUUUGAAGUGUGGACGCCAGUCUGCAUGGAGCCGACCUUGAAAUACCACCCUUUAAUGUUUGAUGUUCUAACGUGGACCCGUUACCCGGGUUGCGGACAGUGUCUGGUGGGUAGUUUGACUGGGGCGGUCUCCUCCUAAAGAGUAACGGAGGAGCACGAAGGUUGGCUAAUCCUGGUCGGACAUCAGGAGGUUAGUGCAAUGGCAUAAGCCAGCUUGACUGCGAGCGUGACGGCGCGAGCAGGUGCGAAAGCAGGUCAUAGUGAUCCGGUGGUUCUGAAUGGAAGGGCCAUCGCUCAACGGAUAAAAGGUACUCCGGGGAUAACAGGCUGAUACCGCCCAAGAGUUCAUAUCGACGGCGGUGUUUGGCACCUCGAUGUCGGCUCAUCACAUCCUGGGGCUGAAGUAGGUCCCAAGGGUAUGGCUGUUCGCCAUUUAAAGUGGUACGCGAGCUGGGUUUAGAACGUCGUGAGACAGUUC